GAUGAACGCUGGCGGCGUGCCUAACACAUGCAAGUCGAGCGAUUCUCUUCGGAGAAGAGCGGCGGACGGGUGAGUAACGCGUGGGUAACCUGCCCUGUACACACGGAUAACAUACCGAAAGGUAUGCUAAUACGAGAUAAUAUGCUUUUAUCGCAUGGUAGAAGUAUCAAAGCUCCGGCGGUACAGGAUGGACCCGCGUCUGAUUAGCUAGUUGGUAAGGUAACGGCUUACCAAGGCGACGAUCAGUAGCCGACCUGAGAGGGUGAUCGGCCACAUUGGAACUGAGACACGGUCCAAACUCCUACGGGAGGCAGCAGUGGGGAAUAUUGCACAAUGGGCGAAAGCCUGAUGCAGCAACGCCGCGUGAGCGAUGAAGGCCUUCGGGUCGUAAAGCUCUGUCCUCAAGGAAGAUAAUGACGGUACUUGAGGAGGAAGCCCCGGCUAACUACGUGCCAGCCGCCGCUGUAAAAC
rnacentral:rRNA from 1 species